UGAGGUCGUGGGAGUGAAAUCAAGUCAUUACAUAAUUUGGGUAUUACACUAGUGUAAUAAAGCUUCGACGUUGACGUUGUUUCAAAAAGUUGAUGUUUCAGUAGGAAAAGCUAGCAAGUGAUAAAAAGAAUAUUACAUACUAGUUGAAAAGAAUUUAUAACAUACUCGGUAGAGCUCCGCAUUUCAGUAUUCUAUUCAACUAGUUUAAUAAAUUUUAUACGAAAAUACACUCAUGUUAUAUCCUGUAUUAAUGCGUUUUUGUUCUUUCUUAGGAAUAUCGUAAGACAUUAUGAAACAUGGCCGAUAGCCACACGGUGGAGGAUGGCGCCCUUCCAGCACCGGAUUUGCCGUCAGUGUCAUCUGUUGAUGGAACAAGUGGAACCUCCUUUCUAUCGUUACAGAACCAAAACACAAGCACAUCAAUAACAAUAAGACGUCCACACAUAGAGCGCAUGUCCAGAAACAUAUACAUGGUAGCACCAAGAGAUGAUGAUGAUAAUGUAAUAAGCCUACAUCCAGAGCACACGCAAAAUGCCCAAGGGAACUACUAGGACAAACUAUAUUCUAAUGCAUGAAAUCCAAGACAACACGCAAAAUUACCACAGACGGAAAACUAGAUUAGAGGCGUCUAUUAGAAGAUUAAGGACAUUUCUUAAUUGGCGUAUACCUUUCCUAGAUCCAGAAGUUCUUGCAGAAGUAAACUUCUGCUACACAGGAAACAUAGAAUGCAACUAUGAAAAUAAUAGCAGACCCGACUGAUGAGAAGAGAUAAAAUGUGCAACACUCCCACAUCCCACCUGCUGAAGAGGAAUGUAAAAGAACACUGAAGUCGUGUUUAAACUAGUUUUUAGUUAUUAAUUUGCAAAACAUUUGACUGUAUACAAGUGCUUUUAAAAUAUUAACGAAUGUGGAGGAGAAUUGUCCAACUGUCAGCCGGGAAAUGAUCCCAGACAAGAACAUUUAAAUGCGUUUGGAUUCUUGUGUGAUUAAAAAUAACAUGUUAUACUCUGCUAUUGAACUUUGGAACAUUUGUGGGGGUUGUUUUGUACUGACUGGCCAAGUGCCAAACACUACAACAUCUAUUUUAUCCGAAGGCACUAAUUCUUACUUACACAUACUUGUAAUAAAUAAGAUGAAAUCAAACAGGAACAUACAAAACUUUUAUGUAAUUCUUGUACUUGUAAAACGUCAUUGGUUGACAUAGAAUAUAUAUUAAUACACAACCCACGUUUUAGAUCGGUGUUUAAACGUCACGUAUAUGCUCUGAAAGUUUCGCAUCUGAAUCAUGAAAAUUAUAUAUAUAAUAUUGAACUUGAACAACUAGUUUCUUGUGUCCGUUUAAUUGACUGUGAUAAGAGCUACACAAACAACACCCUGACUUUUAUUAAAUGUUCCUAUUUAAAUAAGUAGUAUUUUCGUAGUUCAUUUUGACCAAGUCGUUACAAUACAUCCAACCUAUACUAAUGUAUAUUCAUAUAUUCAUCCUUGUUGGUUGUUUUUUUGUUUGUUUGUAAAAACGGUCUUGUAGAAAUGCUUGAACAGCAUUUUCUUUUGUAUUUAUACUAAUAAAACUUAGGAAGCUGUUGUAUCUCUUUGAUAUGUAAUCUUUAAGAUAUUUGUUAAUGUAUAUUCUUAAUCAUGUUUUGUUUUAAACUUAUUUGUAUUUGUUCAGCCUUUCAACUGAUGAGAAAUCAAAAUGAAAAGAUGUGUCAUAAAUCUUUGAACUGUGAAUAAUAACUUGAUCCUACUUGAUAUGUUGCUGUAAUUCAAGUUAUAUUUUGUAUUUAUUCUGGGUACGUUAUACUAAAAUUACUUUGCAAUGUGAAAAUACUACCGUGACGGCGCAAUAUGUCACUCCUUGCCCAAGAAUUUACAUAAAAAGUAACACUACACUUUUGUUCACUAAAUUGAUUGUAGACAUUUUCUCACAUUGUAUUAUUGUUAUCUCUCUGCACAUUAUCUUUAUUUUACU